rnacentral:rRNA from 1 species
UAGAGUUUGAUCCUGGCUCAGAUUGAACGCUGGCGGCAGGCCUAACACAUGCAAGUCGAGCGGUAGCACAGAGAGCUUGCUCUCGGGUGACGAGCGGCGGACGGGUGAGUAAUGUCUGGGAAACUGCCUGAUGGAGGGGGAUAACUACUGGAAACGGUAGCUAAUACCGCAUAACGUCGCAAGACCAAAGUGGGGGACCUUCGGGCCUCAUGCCAUCAGAUGUGCCCAGAUGGGAUUAGCUAGUAGGUGGGGUAACGGCUCACCUAGGCGACGAUCCCUAGCUGGUCUGAGAGGAUGACCAGCCACACUGGAACUGAGACACGGUCCAGACUCCUACGGGAGGCAGCAGUGGGGAAUAUUGCACAAUGGGCGCAAGCCUGAUGCAGCCAUGCCGCGUGUGUGAAGAAGGCCUUCGGGUUGUAAAGCACUUUCAGCGGGGAGGAAGGCGAUAAGGUUAAUAACCUUGUCGAUUGACGUUACCCGCAGAAGAAGCACCGGCUAACUCCGUGCCAGCAGCCGCGGUAAUACGGAGGGUGCAAGCGUUAAUCGGAAUUACUGGGCGUAAAGCGCACGCAGGCGGUCUGUCAAGUCGGAUGUGAAAUCCCCGGGCUCAACCUGGGAACUGCAUUCGAAACUGGCAGGCUAGAGUCUUGUAGAGGGGGGUAGAAUUCCAGGUGUAGCGGUGAAAUGCGUAGAGAUCUGGAGGAAUACCGGUGGCGAAGGCGGCCCCCUGGACAAAGACUGACGCUCAGGUGCGAAAGCGUGGGGAGCAAACAGGAUUAGAUACCCUGGUAGUCCACGCCGUAAACGAUGUCGAUUUGGAGGUUGUGCCCUUGAGGCGUGGCUUCCGGAGCUAACGCGUUAAAUCGACCGCCUGGGGAGUACGGCCGCAAGGUUAAAACUCAAAUGAAUUGACGGGGGCCCGCACAAGCGGUGGAGCAUGUGGUUUAAUUCGAUGCAACGCGAAGAACCUUACCUGGUCUUGACAUCCACAGAACUUAGCAGAGAUGCUUUGGUGCCUUCGGGAACUGUGAGACAGGUGCUGCAUGGCUGUCGUCAGCUCGUGUUGUGAAAUGUUGGGUUAAGUCCCGCAACGAGCGCAACCCUUAUCCUUUGUUGCCAGCGGUUAGGCCGGGAACUCAAAGGAGACUGCCAGUGAUAAACUGGAGGAGGGUGGGGAUGACGUCAAGUCAUCAUGGCCCUUACGACCAGGGCUACACACGUGCUACAAUGGCAUAUACAAAGAGAAGCGACCUCGCGAGAGCAAGCGGACCUCAUAAAGUAUGUCGUAGUCCGGAUUGGAGUCUGCAACUCGACUCCAUGAAGUCGGAAUCGCUAGUAAUCGUAGAUCAGAAUGCUACGGUGAAUACGUUCCCGGGCCUUGUACACACCGCCCGUCACACCAUGGGAGUGGGUUGCAAAAGAAGUAGGUAGCUUAACCUUCGGGAGGGCGCUUACCACUUUGUGAUUCAUGACUGGGGUGAAGUCGUAACAAGGUAACCGUAGGGGAACCUGCGGCUGGAUCACCUCCUUA